UAAUACAUGCAAGUUGAACGCUUGAUUUUCACCGAAGCUUGCUUCACCGAAAAUCAAGAGUAGCGAACGGGUGAGUAACGCGUGGGUAACCUACCUUUCAGCGGGGGAUAACUAUUGGAAACGAUAGCUAAUACCGCAUAACAAUGUUGGAUGCAUAUUCGACAUUUGAAAGUACCAACUGGUACACUGAGAGAUGGACCCGCGUUGUAUUAGCUAGUUGGUAGUGUAAUGGACUACCAAGGCGAUGAUACAUAGCCGACCUGAGAGGGUGAUCGGCCACAUUGGGACUGAGACACGGCCCAAACUCCUACGGGAGGCAGCAGUAGGGAAUCUUCGGCAAUGGACGAAAGUCUGACCGAGCAACGCCGCGUGAGUGAAGAAGGUUUUCGGAUCGUAAAACUCUGUUGUUAGAGAAGAACGUUGCAUAGAGUGGAAAAUUAUGCAAGUGACGGUAUCUAACCAGAAAGGGACGGCUAACUACGUGCCAGCAGCCGCGGUAAUACGUAGGUCCCGAGCGUUGUCCGGAUUUAUUGGGCGUAAAGCGAGCGCAGGUGGUUUAAUAAGUCUGAUGUAAAAGGCAGUGGCUCAACCAUUGUGUGCAUUGGAAACUGUUAGACUUGAGUGCAGUAGAGGAGAGUGGAAUUCCAUGUGUAGCGGUGAAAUGCGUAGAUAUAUGGAGGAACACCGGUGGCGAAAGCGGCUCUCUGGACUGUCACUGACACUGAGGCU
rnacentral:rRNA from 1 species